UUAGGAAUUUUGCGCAAUGGGGGAAACCCUGACGCAGCAACGCCGCGUGAGUGAAGAAGGCCCUAGGGUUGUAAAGCUCUUUCGAAUGGGAAGAAAAAAAUGACGGUACCAUUAGAAGAAGCACCGGCUAACUCCGUGCCAGCAGCCGCGGUAAUACGGAGGGUGCGAGCGUUGCUCGGAUUUACUGGGCGUAAAGAGCACGUAGGCGGCUUGGUAAGUUUGAUGUGAAAGCCCUGGACUCAAUCCAGGAAGUGCAUUGAAUACUGCCUCGCUAGAAUGCAGGAGGGGUGAGCGGAAUUCCAGGUGUAGAGGUGAAAUUCGUAGAUAUCUGGAGGAACAACGGCGGCGAAGGCGGCUCACUGGACUGAUAUUGACGCUGAGGUGCGAAAGUGUGGGGAGCAAACGGG
rnacentral:rRNA from 1 species